ACUGGUUUGCUGGGGUUCUCCUCCCUCCGCUUGAUUCUUGGGAAAAUUUUUCGCUGGGAAGUUGCCUGGUCCUGCUACAGCCGCCUUCUCUGGGCCUGAGUGAGGUUUCCCUUCUUCCUAGAGGACAGGAGAAGUGGGUGCUGCCGCCACAGGUAGAGACGCGGACAGAGGCUGCAGAUGCCACCCCCUUGGCCUCAAGGCGCGGGCGCGCACACACAGACAGACACCUCCACAGCUCGGGAUUCAAAAAAAUGGGAGCAAGAUUAUACUUGGAAAGAUUACACUUCCAGGGGGAAAGCUUGGAUCUUGUGAAUGUGACAUCAGCUCUGUUCUCCCAGAGGUCCCCUGCCUGAACUGGGGAGGGCAGAGCUGGCUUCCGGGCGGGCCCCCAGGGCUGGGCUGAGGGAACAGAUCUCAUCCUGGACCUGACCCUGGUACUGGGCCUCCCCCACUGUGACUUCCAGGGAGGUGGAGGGGGACAAAUAGAUCCAAGUCCACAGCAAGUAUAUUCAAGUUCCACCUUGGGCUAA